CGCGUAGGUGGUUUGGUAAGAUGGAUGUGAAGUCCCCGGGCUCAACCUGGGAACUGCAUCCAUAACUGCCUGACUAGAGUACGGUAGAGGGUGGUGGAAUUUCCUGUGUAGCGGUGAAAUGCGUAGAUAUAGGAAGGAACACCAGUGGCGAAGGCGACCACCUGGACUGAUACUGACACUGAGGUGCGAAAGCGUGGGGAGCAAACA
rnacentral:rRNA from 1 species